rnacentral:lncRNA from 1 species
CUCUAACAUUCACAUACUUCAGAAAACAUGCAAUUCUUGAUCAUGAGGACUUUUUAAAGGUUAUAUUGGGGCCAAGGCAAAGGUAGGAAAUUUUCUUUGGAAUUUCUGGGUUUUUGAAGUUGAUAUAGAAAGAGUAAUGACACUUUAUUUCAAAAACAACCUUAUUUCUUGCUCUUUUUAGGAAGAUUUUUUUUUCUCUUUCUUUUUUUUUUCAUCACCUUUUUUUUUCUUUUUUUUUUCAUCACUUUUUUUUUUUCAAAACUUCAACUUUAAAUCUUCCUUUUUGCCUUCCUUUUGUUUUGUGGUGAGACACUUACCCACACACUUAUUCAUUACUUACUUAUAACACAAUCCAUUACUCCUUUUUCUUUCCCAAGGUGAGGAAGAUAUGAUUUUUCUUCAUUUUUUUCAUUUGGCAAUUUCUAGAAACAAGAAAAAUAGUCUUAAGGCUCAAAGGGGUUUCCAAUGGAUUA